AUUUAAUCUUUUUUCAAUUAACAAAAAUCUAUUUUUCUCCCUUUUACCUCCCCCAGCCUUCACUGAAAAGAAGAGCAAAACCCUUGUAACCAAUAUGCAUGGUUAAGCAAAAUAAAUUUCUGUGUUGGCUGUGUCCAAAAAAUAAAUAUAUCAUUGCCAGGAGGUGAGUAAUGUGGUUCAUUAUUGGUAUGAUGAAAUUAUGGUUGGUCCCUGUGCUGAUCACAGUGUAAUGAAGUCUUUCAAAGUUUUUUUUAAAAUUAAAUUUAUUUUUUAAAUGAACAAAAACAUUUUUUUUUCUCCCUCCCAAUUCCUAAUCCUAGAUACCUUCUCCAGAUAAGCAGCACAACAAGACACACAGAGGCAGAUGAAGAGGCUCUUGGGAUCCUGGACCAUGCACAAUGUGUGGGAAGGAGGUCAGUAUCACUGAACUUGGCUGGGACUUGUGCUCGAUUCACAACAAUGGAGACCACCCUGAAAUUCAAAGGAAGGGAAAAAGGACCUGGUGCUGCUCAUACAGAUGCGGGCUCUGCUGCCAGACACUGACAUAGACUCCAUCGAUGCUGUUCCAUUAGAUGCUGUUCAGCCGGACGCCUGAUCUCCAAUAUCUCCAGUUUCUAGCUCAGCUGGGAUCUGUGGCUAUCCCCUUCUCAAGGGAUGAGCACGUGCUCCCAUGAUUUUUAAAGUUUAAAUCAUAAGUUUGUAUACUUUUUUUCCCCUCCUGGCUGUUUUACAAAAGGUAGAAGCCUUGUCUGGAACAGUAAAAACCCUCCUCUCUAGUUCUCCUAUCUUUUUUU
rnacentral:lncRNA from 1 species